AUUGAACGCUGGCGGCAGGCCUAACACAUGCAAGUCGAACGAGUGGCGGACGGGUGAGUAAUGUCUGGGAAACUGCCUGAUGGAGGGGGAUAACUACUGGAAACGGUAGCUAAUAACGCCUACCAUCAGAUGUGCCCAUAUGGGAUUAGCUUGUUGGUGGGGUAACGGCUCACCAAGGCGAAGAUCACUAGCUGGUCUGGGAGGAUGACCAGGCAAACUGGAAGUGAGACACGGUCCAGCCGCCUACGGCAGGCAGAAGUGGGGAAUAUUGCACAAUGGGCGCAAGCCGGAUGCAGCCAUGCCGCGUGUAUGAAGAAGGCCUUCGGGUUGUAAAGUACUUUCAGCGGGGAGGCGUUACCCGCAGAAGAAGCACCGGCUAACUCCGUGCCAGCAGCCGCGGUAAUUC
rnacentral:rRNA from 1 species